rnacentral:tRNA from 1 species
GGGAAUAUAGCUCAGUGGUAGGGCGUGUGCUUAGCAAGCACAAGGUCCUGGGUUCAAUCCCCAGUAUUUCCA